rnacentral:lncRNA from 1 species
CGAAUGCCACUCGAUGGACUUACAUCAGCUUCCAAGCACACAACAAGAACAACAAACAACAAAUUGCCAAGGAGUCGGGAACUCGAGCCUAGCAAUUGUCAAACAAACACAUACAAAAAGGAAAAAAGGUGCCCGGAGUGGUCUCGCACGACCACCUGCCUACAUACCUCGUCUGGAACAAGGAUCAGGGCGAUGUAGUUCCCCUACAUAGGGGAGCAAAACACACAAACUAAUAGGGAGUCUGGAACUCGAGCCUAAUAGUUGUCAAGCAAAACACACGCAAAAAAGGAAAAGGGUGCCCGGAGAGAUCUC